CGACAACAUCAUAUUGGUUAAAUUUAAAAAUCAACACCAUAAAACCCAACUCAAAUUCAACAAAAGGAAUAGAUAAAAGCUGCAAGGCAAACGAAAUUUUGGAAAACGAAAGAACACUAAAGAGAAAUAACUUAAGCCUAAAGAAACGCAGAGAAGUUAAAGUUAUUAUAUACACACACAGAUAUAGGAACAGAGAGGAAGUCUGACUACCAGUGGAAUUACAGCCAUUGGUGGUGUCGCCAAGAGCAUGAAUAUGGAAGCCAUGAAGACCUGGUGAUAGGCCUGUUAUCUUCCCCGUGACAUGGGUGGGCCCUGUAUUUAUGGGUAUUAGCAUAAUCAACAAAAGAACACAAUUUUUAUUAAUAAAUCCACUAUUUACAUAGAAUACACACACACAUAUAGGAAGAGAGAGAAAGAGAGAGA
rnacentral:misc_RNA from 1 species